AUUGAACGCUGGCGGCAGGCUUAACACAUGCAAGUCGAGCGGAGAUGAGGUGCUUGCACCUUAUCUUAGCGGCGGACGGGUGAGUAAUGCUUAGGAAUCUGCCUAUUAGUGGGGGACAACAUUCCGAAAGGAAUGCUAAUACCGCAUACGUCCUACGGGAGAAAGCAGGGGAUCUUCGGACCUUGCGCUAAUAGAUGAGCCUAAGUCGGAUUAGCUAGUUGGUGGGGUGAAGGCCUACCAAGGCGACGAUCUGUAGCGGGUCUGAGAGGAUGAUCCGCCACCCUGGGACUGAGACACGGCCCAGGCUCCUACGGGAGGCAGCAGUGGGGAAUAUUGGACAAUGGGGGGAACCCUGAUCCAGCCAUGCCGCGUGUGUGAAGAAGGCCUUAUGGUUGUAAAGCACUUUAAGCGAGGAGGAGGCUACUGAGACUAAUACUCUUGGAUAGUGGACGUUACUCGCAGAAUAAGCACCGGCUAACUCUGUGCCAGCCGCCGCGGUAAUAC
rnacentral:rRNA from 1 species